rnacentral:rRNA from 1 species
GUGACCUCAAAUCAGGUAGGAUUACCCGCUGAACUUAAGCAUAUCAAUAAGCGGAGGAAAAGAAACUAACAAGGAUUCCCCUAGUAACUGCGAGUGAAGCGGGAAAAGCUCAAAUUUAAAAUCUGGCAGUCUUUGGCUGUCCGAGUUGUAAUCUAGAGAAGUGCUAUCCGCGCUGGACCGUGUACAAGUCUCCUGGAAUGGAGCGUCAUAGAGGGUGAGAAUCCCGUCUUUGACACGGACUGCCAGGGCUUUGUGAUGUGCUCUCGAAGAGUCGAGUUGUUUGGGAAUGCAGCUCAAAAUGGGUGGUAAAUUCCAUCUAAAGCUAAAUAUUGGCGAGAGACCGAUAGCGAACAAGUACCGUGAGGGAAAGAUGAAAAGAACUUUGGAAAGAGAGUUAAACAGUACGUGAAAUUGCUGAAAGGGAAACGCUUGAAGUCAGUCGCGUCGUCCAGGGAUCAACCUUGCUUUUGCUUGGUGCACUUUCUGGUUGACGGGUCAGCAUCAAUUUUGACCAUUGGAAAAAGAUUAGGGGAAUGUGGCAUCUUAGGAUGUGUUAUAGCCCUUGGUUGCAUACAAUGGUUGGGAUUGAGGAACUCAGCACGCCGCAAGGCCGGGUUUUUAACCACGUACGUGCUUAGGAUGCUGGCAUAAUGGCUUUAAUCGACCCGUC